rnacentral:sRNA from 1 species
GCACUGCGCAGGCUCCAGGAAGAGGCGCGCGACCUGCUGGAGAGGCUCGUGCAGCGCAAGGCGCGCGCCGCGGCCGAGCGCAACCUGCGCAACGAGCGCCGGGAGCGGGCCAAGCAGGCGCGGGUGUCCCAGGAGCUGAAGAAGGCUGCCAAGCGGACCGUGAGCAUCAGCGAGGGCCCGGACACCCUAGGCGAUGGGAUGAGGGAGAGAAGGGAGACUCUGGCUCUGGCCCCUGAGCCAGAGCCCCUGGAGAAGGAAGCUUGUGAGAAGUGGAAGAGGCCAUUCAGGUGAGGACCCAGGUGACAGUCUCAGAGCUCUGAGCUGAGCCCCACCCCAGAGGCUGCCAGGGUCUUCCUCUUGGACCUUGGAGUCAGCUCUUGGGUUGGGAGGGGGCUUGAGGAGAGGCCAGAAAGCUCAGAUCUCCCAGGGCUAGUCUGACCUCCAUUGUCUGGAGCCACUUGGGGUCAGUUCCAUCUCACCCCCCCAACCCCUACCCUCCUUCUUGGGAUCAGAGCUCUGGGGGUGGGGUGUCAGGCUUCUGAAUAGCUGUCACCAGGAAAGAACCUGUGGGCAAAGCCCAGAGCCCAGUCAUGGCAGGCAUGUGUGCGCAGCCAUAGGUGUGCAAGCAUGUGCAUCCGCAGGGACAUGAGGCCACAGGUGUGUACAAGCUUGACUGAGCCCGUCUGUAUGUGUGAAUAUAUAAGCAUGUGUAGAUGUGUGCUCACACUUGUGGGACCUGAUUGGGGCUUCAGACCUUGGGUGCCUGUCCGCAGGGUCUCCUCCAUCCUUCUUGAUUUGCCUGUCAUUG